ACGGGCUCAGAAAAAACUGAGGAACAAGUGUUGCCCAAUGAGAGGCGCUAUCAGCAGCAACUCUGGCGUGAGAUGGCAAAUGGAGCGCCUGGUUGAACCGCGGCGGAGGAGAAGGGGUUUCGUCAAUGGCCGCGGGUCGCGGUGGUUUCUGCAACUAAUUGGCUUCCGUCUCGCUCCAAUCUUCUUCUUCCUUUGAUUUUCCAGCGGGUGUUCAGAGAUUCAUGGCAAACCUAGUGUUGCAUAUUUGGCAAGUUUCAUGACUUAGCCUUUUCCUGCAAGUUUGAUUUGUUAACUAGAACAAAUUAAGUCAUGCUGAUUUCUUCCUUACCGACGUAUUGUGACAGGUCUAGGAUGGCCAUAUUUCUUGGUAGAUACCUUUAGGUUUAGAUUUAUGACUUAUAGGGGGAUUCUUAGCUUUGUAAAGCUUGAAUUCAUGUGCCAAAUGAGGUUUGAAUAUAAUGGAGAUCCUUCUUGUAGUUUAAGGCUUUGUUUGGAUUGAUGGAAUUGGAUGGAGCGGAGCGGAGCGGAAUGAAAUAAAAUAAUAUUCCGUUGUUUGGAUAAUUUAAAAACGGAUGGAGCGGAGCGGAAAGGAGUGGUAUGGAUUCCAUUCCAUUCCAUCACUUACCACCAUAUUCCUUCCCCUCCAAUUUGGGCGGAAUGAAUAAUUUGUCUUAUUCCGUUCUAAAAUUUCCAAACAAUGGAAUGGUACAUUCGUUCCGCUCCGUUCCACUCCGCUCCAUUCCAUUCUGCUCCGUUCAUUUCGUGAUAUCCAAACAUACCCUAAGGAAUUUUGUAUUUUAAUUCAACUCGUGUCCCUUUAGACCUAUUGUAAACUGAGAACUUUGUCAUUUUAAAUCUAGUGGGGAAGCUUGUAUCAAUGUGUUUGGCAUUGCCUUUGUAAUCCAAAACUUGAUGUGAAUAAUAAAAAUAUUCAACUUGUUGCCUA